ensembl:lncRNA
AGGAGAGAGGGCUAGCGCAAAUUGUGGCACCGGCAACUCGCUGAGGCACUUCCUGUUGCAGGUUGCGGUGCCGCGGCGAAUCGUGGCAGCUGCCUCGAGUUUACGGCAACUGCCUCGCCUGUUGCCUCGGCUGAGUGAGGUACCUCGAGCGGUACCACGAAUUCAGGGACCGGUUCAUCGGUCGAGAGAGGUACCUCCAGCGGUACCUCGAGUUAAGGGAGUCUUGCCACGACCUAACGGAGGCAUGCAACGACAAAAGGGAGCGGUGCAUCGGCUGAUAGAGGUACCGGGAGUUUAAGGGAGAGGUGCCACGGCUGUUAACGUAGCGGGAGUUUAAGGGAGAGGUGCCACGGCUGUUAAGGGAGCCGGAGUUUAAGGGAGAGGUGCCACGGCUGUUAACGUAGCGGGAGUUUAAGGGAGAGGUGCCACGGCUGUUAAGGGAGCCGGAGUUUAAGGGAGAGGUGCCACGGCUGUUAACGUAGCGUUGCUAACCUCUGCUUUACACAGCUUCCUGUUUGACGUGAGCUGACAGCUGUCUGGUGCGCUCUCCCUCGGCCUGGACCUCGUUCUCUGCUCACUGGGCUUCACCGUUGCCGGCCAAACGCCCGUAUUCUUCUGUUUGUGUUUGUGUUCAUUAAAACACUUUACGUUCCCUUGCGUUUGGGUGGUCGCUUCUUCACAAGCACAACAGAUAUAGUCAAAAGGAAAUAAAUAUAAUUUAAAAAAUUUCAUUUUUCCUUUUACGGAACAUCCAUCAUGAAGGUACUGUCUGUUGCCUGAUCAUGAAACAAUAUAGAAUAAGGUUAAUACUUUAAUCCAGCAGCUUUUGUGCAAUCACUGGAUAUCUAAAAACAGUCAUGCACACAAUCUAGCUCAGGCAAAUUCUUUUGUCAACAAUUGUAGUCAACAUUAAUUUAAAUGAAAAUACUGGUAACUCCUAUUAUAUACCGACAUUCAAUUUUAGACACGUCUUGAUGGCACCCACCCAGUGUUAUUGUUUGUUCAUAUAAAUCACAUACCCAUUGAUUAGUUCUCAAAGUAGAGAUUGUAACCAGGGCGGCAAGUGAUCUUAGUCCAUAUUCGCUUAGCUGCACUAAAAUGGGAAGCCGUUGUAUCACUUACUGGCUUUUUAUUACUAAAACAAUAGAUAGAUAGAUAGAUACUUUAUUGAUCCCUCAAGAGGGAAAUGUUGGUAUCACAGCAGCAUGUACAGGGAAGAAAAUAGAAUAUAAAGAUAAAAAUAAUGUCACAUUAUAUACAAUAUAAUAAGAUAGAAAUAUUCAAUUAUUAAUUUAAAUAAACUCAAACAAAAGAAUAACCUUCCAAAAGAGACAAUAAUAAUAAUUUGUAAAAGAGGAAGAGGAAAGAGCAGCAACAUCACAGCAGUACAGGGUUAUUAUUGUCAUUAUUUAGCAUGGGAUGAUUUAUUGUGUUAUUGCACUGGGCAGGAAUAAUAAUAAUAGUUAAUAAUAGUUCAUAGUUAAUAAUAACUGUGAUGUUACUAGAUGUUACUGGUUACUGUUAAGGUAAAGAACUCCAUCACCCAGCAUUCCCUAGUCAGUGCUGAGGGACAUGCGCAGUGCGGAGCGCGACAGACCCCGGGUAGCAUUACAGCGGACUGUGCUAGUUGACAUUAAAAGUUCAUGAAACGUAUUUCACGCCUCGCCUGCUUCUUAUAAGAUUAAGCAAGGUACAACAAUAACUACCAACACUAGUACUUUUAAAGGCAGUAUUGUAUUAUCACAUAUUGGCAAAUUAUAAAACAAACAUAUAACAUAUUUGGGAAAUAAAACGGCAGCUGUCUGGCGCAAAGUCGAGGCAGCUGUCGUAAAAACGGCAACCGUCGAGGCACCACUGCGGCAAAGUCGCGGCAGCUGUCGUGAAGCCGCGUCAAUUGCCUCGAAGUCGUGGCAAGUGUCUCGACUUCGUGGCAACUGCCUCGUGAAAUCGUGGCAAGUGUCUCGAAGUCGUGGCAAGUGUCUCGACUUCGUGGCAACUGCCUCGUGAAAUCGUGCCAAGUGUCUCGACUUCGUGGCAAUUGCCACGAAUUCGUGGCAACUGCCUCGUGAAAUCGUGGCAAGUGCCGCAGUGUCGAGGCAGUUGCCACGAUUCACCGCGGCACCGCAACCUGCAACAGGAAGUGCCUCGGCGGGUUGCCAGUGCCACGAAUUGCGCUAGCUCUUACUGC